UACAGAGGUCUCAAGCGUUGUUCGGAUUCAUUGGGCGUAAAGGGUGUGUAGGUGGCGCUGUAAGUGGGGUGUGAAAUCUCGGGGCUUAACUCCGAAACUGCAUUCCAUACUGCGGUGCUUGAGGACUGGAGAGGAGACUGGAAUUCAUGGUGUAGCAGUGAAAUGCGUAGAGAUCAUGAGGAAGACCAGUGGCGAAGGCGGGUCUCUGGACAGUUCCUGACGCUGAGGCACGAAGGUCAGGGGAGCAAACGGG
rnacentral:rRNA from 1 species